rnacentral:tRNA from 4 species
GGCCCUGUAGCUCAGUGGAUUAGAGCGAUUGCUUGCGGAGCAAAAGGUCGCGUGUUCGAAUCACGCCAGGGUCA